GAACUUAAUUUAUAGUCCUUUAGAGUUGAUUUGUUGAAAUUGUUUUUAUUAUAACCAGUAGGGGUCUCCUUUGAGGCUAAAUAAAGUUACUGAUCAUGUGGAGGGAAACAGGCUUUAUAAAACAGAGCAUUGAGUUUGUGUUCGUUUAAAGUUUCUCAUUCUACACAUCCUGUUCAGACCUCACACACACUGCUGUUCAUUCAUGUCAUUCCUCCAGCACUGAAGCAUCAACAUGAUAUUUAUAGUGUGCUUCAUUUAUUUAGCAGCACCUCCAUUCUGGGUCUCAGGAGAAUCACUAAGUGAUCAAGUUCAUCAGAAUCCACCUCAUCUGAUAACAAAAGCUGAGAAAACAGUUCAGAUCAGCUGUUCUCACACCAUUACAGACUAUUACAUAAUAUUAUGGUAUCAGCAGCUGAAGGGUGAUAGUGCUCUAAAUCUUAUUGGGUAUGUGUCUUACACAAAUCCAACCACUGAAGGCCAAUAUAAAAUUCAGUUCAGCAUUGGAGGAAAUGGUGCAGAAUCCUCUACUCUUAAUGUAACAUUAGAAAGAGAACAUGUUGGGAGUACUGUAGUAUAUUACUGUGCUGCCAGUAGAGCACAGUGUGGAAGAUCCUUUAAUCACUCUUACAAAAACCUUCUGUUAAACCCUGUCACCACAACAUUAUUAGCACCUGAAUGCACCCAUGCACCCCCAAACAUGAUCACUCAGUGCACCCUUGUUUGCAGUACAAACCAGGGCUAAGUUUCCAAAAGCUUUGUAAGACUAAGAAGUUCGUAAAAACGAUCAUACGACUGAUCUUAAUAUUACGGUCUGUUUCCCAAAAGCAUCGUCUUGUUGAUGUCAGAGGAGAAUGGGUAGACUGGUUAGAGAUGAUAGAAAGGCAACAGUAACUCAAAUAACCACUCGUUACAACCAAUGUAUGCAGAAUACCAUCUCUGAACGCACAACACGUCGAACCCUGAAUCAGAUGGCCUACAGCAGCAGAAGACCACACCGGGUGCCGAUCCUGUCAGCUAAGAACAGAAAACAGAGGCUACAAUUCACACAGGCUCACCAAAAUUGGACAAUAGAAGAUUGGAAAAACGUUGCAUCCAAAAACUUUGUCCAAAAAUGUCUGUUAUUCAUUUUCUAUAGUAGCUUUGAACAGCCAAAUACAUUUUAAAUUACUUAAAUGUGUAAACAAAGUGAACCUGGCAUGCUCUUCCCUGUGUUCACAUAUGUGUCAAAAAUUCUGCCCUGAAUCUGUUCAAGUGUUGACCAAAGCCUGAAAGGUAAUGUAAUCAAAUGGGAGGUGACUGUUUUUGCUCUAUUCAGGACAAUAUGCAACCUGUUAAUGGAAACCUACAUGUGUUCAUUUCC
rnacentral:lncRNA from 1 species